rnacentral:rRNA from 1 species
AUUGAACGCUGGCGGCAUGCUUUACAUAUGCAAGUCGAACGGUAACAGGCCGCAAGGUGCUGACGAGUGGCGAACGGGUGAGUAAUGCAUCGGAACGUGCCCAGUCGUGGGGGAUAACGCAGCGAAAGCUGUGCUAAUACCGCAUACGAUCUAUGGAUGAAAGCGGGGGACCGUAAGGCCUCGCGCGAUUGGAGCGGCCGAUGUCAGAUUAGGUAGUUGGUGGGGAAAAGGCCUACCAAGCCAACGAUCUGUAGCUGGUCUGAGAGGACGACCAGCCACACUGGGACUGAGACACGGCCCAGACUCCUACGGGAGGCAGCAGUGGGGAAUUUUGGACAAUGGGCGCAAGCCUGAUCCAGCAAUGCCGCGUGCAGGAAGAAGGCCUUCGGGUUGUAAACUGCUUUUGUACGGAACGAAACGGUCUGGGUUAAUACCCUGGACUAAUGACGGUACCGUAAGAAUAAGCACCGGCUAACUUCGUGCCAGCAGCCGCGGUAAAAC